rnacentral:lncRNA from 1 species
GACAAUGCCAUGUGGCAAAAGCUUUGUCGGGUAUGGGCACAAGCUUUUUUAAGACACAGGAGAAGAAUACGUUCUCUAGACUUAAACAUCCUAGGGGUUUUCCAGAGGAGGUAGUCCUUGAAAUGAAUCUUCUUGGAUGAGAGGGCUAAUUGUCCAGGUAAAGGAGGGCGGGUGUUCUAGACCUGUAUCACCUGGUGGCAUGCACAUGAGAAACAGCAAGGUACGAGUGGUCAUGACAAGGAGUUAAGGAUGGUGGAAGCCAAGGGGAUUGGGGAGGAGGAGAGGUGUUGAGGAUGAUGGUAGACAGGUGAGAUAGAAGUCAAAUUCAUGAAGCGCUUAGAGUCCGUGUUAAUUAAUCUGUGUGAUUCUGGACUUAUGCACAGAAAGUGACUCAGUCUAAUUUAGGCAGGAAGGAAACCAGCUUAAAAACACUGGAUGCUGAGGACUGGAGUGCCACCAGGGACCUCCAUUCUGCUGUUCUCUGCAUGGGUUUUUAUUGCCCUUAUUCUGCAGAAUUGCUCAUCUCCUUUCCCAAUGCACGUGAUAGACACAUAGGGUAAGACCAUCAGCCAAGACCUUAUAUUUUACAGAUAGAACCACCUGGAAAGACUGAGUACCUCUCUCUGUUCAUUUAUACAUCCUCUCUGAAAGGAAAUAGGUUUGGUAAGUCUGAGCCUCGCACUUACCCUUGUACCACUUUGUGACUAGAAGGCAAGUUGCGUUCCAUGAACGUCGUUUCUGUGACCAUGAGAUGGCAGGGGAGUGGUUGCAUUGGAACGUCCCAAUUGGAAUUUUACAAAAUACACCUAUUAUCUAAGUGGGCUUCAAGUGACAGUACACUGUCAUGAUAACGUCUGGAGUUUUGGAAACAUGCAACAGUGUAUAUCUGGGGUGUGCCUGCUUAACGUUCUGAGUCAGUAGAUCUGAGGUGGGAUCUGUGGGCUGGCAUUUAAAAAGUUCAGUAAUUGAUUCUAAUGCCCAGCUAGAGCGGGAACCAUUUUAAGGAAAGUUUAUCUUAUCUCAAACAAGAGAGGAAACCUCAGGAGGUAGAAGGAAAGGCCAUCACAGGACACCCGCUCGGGCAAGUAGUUUGGAAAGGAGAAGGUGAGGAUGUGGUGACUUUUUAGGAGUCAGUUAUGUUCAUCCAGGAGGGAUGAGAGCUCUCAUCUAAGGCAGGAGCCAUGCAGUAGAGAGGAGGGUGCUCAGAAGGUAGAACUGGCAGCUUCUUGUCAUCAGUUAUAUCUGGGGGGCAAGGAAUGCGUCUAGAACAAUCCCAUAUUUUGGGCAUGGGAGGUGAGGUAAAUUAGGUGAUAGAGGAGGAGAAAUGGGACUCAGGAUGGAAGAUGAUGAGCUGAAUGUUGACAUUUUGUAUUUGAAACGCCUCCAGGUCUCCAGUUGUGCAAGGCCAGGGGGCAGUUGUGUAUAUGGGAGUUCUGAGCUAAAGAUGGCGCUUUUGUAAUCAUUGUUUGCAAGUGACAGAUGAAGACUCUGUGUGCAGAUUUCCUAGGGUGGAUAUAACGGAGGACAGUAAUCCUAUGAAUUUGGGGCAUGUAAAAAAUUAAAGGGCAGGUGAGAAGGUUGGGAAGGAGAUUCAUCAAUAGAAGGAGAAUCUACAUCAGGAGAGACUGGCAUCCUUAAAAAGUAGGGAGAGAUUUUAAAGAAGACAGGAUUAGCCAUAUGGAAUUAGCCAAAUUUUCCGGGUCGAAAAUGUCCACUGGGUCUGGCUAGUAACAAGUCAACUAUGACCUUGACAGCAGUUUUAUUCUUUCAUGUUAUUUUCGCACAUCUUUCGUCUCUUUCUGAUGGUAAACUUCAUUCAUGCAUUCAUUGGAUAAACAUUCUGUAGGCAGGGCUAGACGUCCUGAAAUACAUAAUUUUUAAAAUACAUUUAUUUAUUUUUAUUUUAUCUAUUUUAUUUUUGGCCGCGUUGGGUCUUCGUUGAUGCGCGGGCUUUCUCUAGUUGUGGCGAGCGGGGGCUACUCUUUGUUGCGAUGCGUGGGUUUCUCAUUGCGGUGGCUUCUCUUGUUGUGGAGCACGGGCUCUAGGCACACGGGCUCAGUAGUCGUGGCGCAUGGGCUUAGUUGCUCUGCGGCGUGUGGGAUCUUCCUGGACUGGGGCUCGAACCCGUGUCCCCUGCGUUGGCAGGCAGAUUCUUAACCACUGCGCCACCAGGGAAGUCCCCCGAGUUUAUUUUUGAAUGCCUCAUCUCUCAUCUGCGUUCGCCCUGCUACUGUGGUAGGUCAGACUCCUAUUUCUUCCCUGCCUUAUUGAGACCAGCAGAUCCCCCAUCCUCCGGGCCUCCUUCUGGGUCUUUAAGCCGAUGCUUCCACCAUUGGUGACUCCAUGUCAACUGUAGGUGACCAUCUAAGCAACUUAGCCAGUCGUGCAGCACCUUUUCUCGUACCAUUUGCCAGGCACUGAGCCAGGUCCUGUGAUAACAGUGCCCUGCUCUAAUGGGGUUCACUUCCAGGGUGGGCGACAAAAAUGGAACUCGGAAUUGAGAGUCCAGCGAGUAAAAGCAGUGCCUGGAGGGUUGGGGUAGUAUGGCUGUGAAUCUUGGUUCGUCCGGGGCACGUGGUGGCAUUGGGUGCCAGCCAGGGAGGCUUCUCAGAGGAAACCACAUCUAGGCUGAGGCCCGCAGGGGCGAGGGGAGUCGGGCAGGUACAAGUCAAGGGAGGAGAAUGGUGCUCGCCAAGGCCCUGGGCGUGAGGAAAUGGGGGUGUGGGUGGAGCCACCGGCCAGGGGGUCCAAGGCUACAAGAUGAUCCUCGUUGGACCUCGGCAGGCGCCGUAUCACGGAAGACCUCGCAGGACCGCAUCCGGGAAUUUGGGCUUUCUCUUGUGCUUGGUAAGGCGACUCUGACUUCUCUGAGGGCAGUGGAUUGGGUGAGACCAAGAGUCAAGGCAGGAAAUGCAGCCACCUAACUGGCCUCAUGUGCUCCUGUCUCCUGGGCCCACUGCCCCGCAUCUUCCACGCCCAGCACAGCGCUCAGCAGCCUGGUCCAGACAGUGACGUAACACGUGAUGCUUCCCUAAAAGGAGUUGAUGCUGUUGACUCUUGACCUCCGCUGCGUGGGUUCCUCCACGGGAAACGCCCCUCUCCUUUGGCACUGCAGACUACUAUCCACCCUUUAGGAGGCUCUCAAAUCCCACUUCCUGUUUCCUCUAAUCAUUACGGCAGACACGUGAGGCAGCUGUUUUAUCUCCACUUUAC